rnacentral:piRNA from 1 species
UGGAAGACGGUGAAAUUGAUGGAAAUA